rnacentral:rRNA from 1 species
AUACGGAAGGUGCAAGCGUUACUCGGAAUCACUGGGCGUAAAGCGCGCGCAGGCGGCUUGAUAAGUUGGAUGUGAAAGCCUACGGCUCAACCGUAGAACUGCAUCCAAAACUGUCAAGCUAGAGUCUGGGAGGGGAAGAUGGAAUUAGUUGUGUAGGGGUAAAAUCCGUAGAGAUAACUAGGAAUACCAAAAGCGAAGGCGAUCUUCUGGAACAGUACUGACGCUGAGGCGCGAAAGCGUGGGGAGCAAACAGGAUUAGAAACCCGGGUAGUCC